rnacentral:rRNA from 1 species
AUAAGGGCAAAUGGUGGAUGCCUUGGCACAGUGAGGCGAUGAAGGACGGUGCGUAGCUCCGAUAAGCCUCGGGGAGGUGCGUAGCAACCUAUAAUCCGAGGAUUUCCGAAUGGGGAAACCUAAUACGAUGAUAAAUCGUAUUAUUCAGUGUCAUUUUGGCACUGGAAGCAUACCUGGGGAAGUGAAACAUCUCAGUACCCAGAGGAAAAGAAAACAAAAAUAACUUUUUUCCUCUCUCAAUGAAGAAGGAUAGAGGAAAAAAGUUUUGUGAUUCCCUUAGUAGCGGCGAGCGAACAGGGAAAAGCCCAAAUCCUCCACAUGACUUAGACUACUGAUAUUUUUACCAAUGCAAAGCAUUGGAGUUUAAGUCAUGUGGAGGAGGUCAAAAGAAAAAUGCCCGAGUUUGACUCAAAAGAAAAAUAAAGAAAAGUUGAAUUAUCUGGAAAGGUAAGCCAAAGAAGGUGAAAGCCCUGUAAACAAAAUUUUUAUUUUUCUUUAGCAUUUUUCUUGAGUACUUCGGAGAUUUAAAGCUCAGAAGGAAGGUUCCGGGACUACUCCGGAAAGGCUAAAUACUCACUGCGACCGAUAGCGGACUAGUACCGUGAGGGAAAGGUGAAAAGAACCCCGGUGAGGGGAGUGAAAUAGAACCUGAAACCAUUUUGCCUACAAGGACUCGGAGCCCCCUUCUUUUAACAAAGGAGGAGGUGACGGGGUGCCUAUUGAAGAAUGAGCCGGCGAGUUUAUAUCUACUGCUUAAAUUAAGCCGCGAAAGCGGACGAAGUUGAAGGGAAACCAAGUGUUAAAAGCGCGUUUCAGUGUUUUAGUCUGCUUUUUCAAUUGAUAGCAGACUAAAACACUGUGAGUAGUAGACAUAAGACCCGAAGCCAGACGAGCUUACCAUGGUCAGGGUGAAUCCCGACGAAAGUCGGGAAGAGGCCCGAACCCGUGAGCCGUUCAACACUCUGGGAUGAACUGUGGUAAGGAGUGAAAAGCUAACCGUGUCUGGGAAUAGCUGGUUCUCCCCGAAAUAGCUCUACGGCUAGCGGUCUAUUUAUUCUCGUGGGGGUAGAGCACUGGAUGGUGUGUACAGGGCGAAAGCUCAGCACACCAAUCAAACUCCGAAUACCAUUGAGAUUACAAUAGGCUAGUCAGACUACGGGGGCGAAGCUCCGUGGUCGAGAGGCAAAGAAUCCGGAUCGCUGUCUAAGGUCCCUAAAUAUUGGUUAAGUGUAGACUCAAGGUAGUGAUUCGCCAUCGACAGUUAGGAGGUUGGCUCAGAGGUAGCCAUCCUUUAAAGAGUGUGUAACAACUCACUACCUGAAUCGAACACUCAAGUUUUUGAGUGUUCGAGUGGUGAAUCGCGCCGAAAAUUUAUCGGGACUAAAACCAAUUACCGAAGACGCGGAUUACUGUUCCAAGCGAUAGCAAGGUACAGUAGUGGUAGGGGAGCGUUUCUUAAGCGUUGAAGCCGAAGGCGCGAGCCACGGUGGAGUUUAAGGAAGUGAGAAUGCCGGCAUGAGUAACCUAAAAGUCCGAUGAGAACUCGGACCCCCGAAAAUCCAAGGUUUCCUUGGCAAUGAAAGUCAGCCAAGGGUUAGGCGGCCCUAAGGCAAUGGCGAAAGCCGCAGCUAAUGGACAGUCGGUUAAUAUUCCGACCCCUGAGCAUUUUUGCGAAGGAAGGACGGAGGAAAAAAGGAGGAGCGCAUUAUUGGUUUUGCGUUGGGAAUAUAAAGUUCUGUUUACCUGGAAAAUCCGGUAAACUGAGUUAAAUCUCAAAGAGCGCAUAUUCCCAAAAGAUUAAGUUUUACUUAAUCAAUUUUUCCGAAGAGCCUUCCGAGAAAAAUUUCUAAGCGAUAAAAAUGUUCAGUCCGUACCGUAAACCGACACAGGUGGGUGAGGCGAGGAGCCUCAGGGGAACGGGUGAUUCCUCGUUAAGGAACUCGGCAAAAAAGCGGGCGUAACUUUGGAAUAAGCCCUCCGAGCACUCAAGUUUUUGAGUGCUCGGCGCAGCGAAAGUAUCCCUGGCGACUGUUUACCAAAAACACAGGUCCCUGCGAACCCGUAAGGGGAUGUAUAGGGGCUGAUGCCUGUCCGAUGCCAGAAGGUUAAGCUUGGCGGUCAAUUGAUUUUUAUCAGUUGGCUGACUGAGUUAAGCCCUGGUCAAUGACAGCCGUAACUAUAACGGUUCUAAGGUUAGGAAGCGCUAGCCUUAGUAAAAUUCGACUAUAUGCUGGAAAAUCUGGUGUAUCCAAGACUACUAUGGUAUAAUGUAACCAUAGAAUAUGGUUAAUAUUAUGCCAAGUAAAAAUGUCUUUGGUGCAGAUAAUCAGCAGGAAAGACUCAAAAUCGCUUAUUGGAUAGUAGGUUUUACUGAUGGAGAGGGGUGUUUUUCAAUUGCUGUUAUAAAGAACAAAACUACUAAAUUCGGGACACAAAUUUUUCCUGAAUUUGUAAUUACGCAAGGAGAAAAAAGUUUAGUUGCAUUAAAAAAAGUUAAAAAUUUUUUUGAUUGUGGGAAUAUUUUUGUUAACAGACGAUACGAUGAUCAUAACGAAAAUUUAUAUCGUUAUUGUGUGCGUUCUUUAUAUGAUUUAGAUAAGAAAAUAAUUCCGUUUUUUGAAGAACAUCAUCUCCAGACAUAUAAACGAAAUGAUUUUUUGAUUUUUAAGAAGGUUAUAAAAUUAAUGAUAAAGAAAGAACAUUUAACUGAAAAAGGAAGAAGAAAAGUACUUAUGUUUAUCAGUGGAAUGAAUCAUAAGAAGAAGAGAUUUUGAGAAUCCUCAGAGACCAUACGUCGAACCGCAGCACUCAAUGAUUUGAGUGCUCGGAAGAUAUAGUCCGAACUCUAUGGCGACAUAGAGAGGUAAAUAAAUUUUGCCCUUCCAAAAUGGAAGUAACAUAAUUGAGCGCAAUUCCUUGUCAGGUAAGUUCUGACGUGCAUGAAAGGUAUAACGACUGGGGAACUGUCUCAACGAGGAGCCCGGUGAAAAUGCGUGUCCAGCGAAGACGCUGGGUACCCGCAGCAAGACGAAAAGACCCUAGGAGCUUUACUGUAGUUUGGUAUUGAUUUUAUUUGCAAGAUGCGUAGCGUAGUGGGGAGGCUUUGAAGCCCUGAUUUCGGUUGGGGUGGAGCCGCCAAUGAAACACCCAUCUUUUUGUG